CUUGUCGCACCACCAGUCAGGCAGCUCAGGAGUGCAGAGCAACCGCACUGCAGUCCCCCCUCCCCAAAAUCCAUCAAUCCGGCCAUCCGCCUCAGCCUGACUGGAGGUGUUUGGGUUCGGGGGUGGUCUUUGCCUACUGUCUUUCAUGGCUAUUCACCCAAUGAACGACGAGCCUGCCACCAGCGAUCUUCGUGGUUGGGGUUCUCUUAACCGCAUGAGAGGGCGGUGACAGCAACUGAUCUAAGCCGAAGAUUGUCUCUGAUGUUCACAUGGGCGUCCCGUUUGAAAACCGACAUGGGCGGGCGGAGAUUAAAAGAGGAGGACGGAGGAGAAUGUGAGCUUGAGAAAACAACUCUUGUAGGCAAAGGUAUGCCAUGAAUCCCAGGAGUCUUUGAAUGAGCUGAGCCGGCUGAGAUAGAUGCUGUUGGAAAUGGAGAACCAGGUCCCCGACACACUUGAAGUGCUCUUGAGUAGAGCUGGUACCCUCGCUGAAGAGGCCCUUACCAUCGAAAGGGGUAGUAUGGCAACAACCCAUCUUAGAAGUUGAAGCACAGUCAAUUACCAGUGAAUUGGGAGCUGGAUGUUUCAGAAGGUAAGAUAUGUGUAGCUGGAGGUACGUUGACUGGAAGAUCAGUAAGUUAAUCCGAAUCAUCAGGAUCCGAUUCAAAAUCAGAGGAACCAUGAUGAUCAGAUGGUGAGUACGCUGGUGAAGGCAGAACAUACAUCUAGGUCUCUAUGGUAGUCUUGCCCUGCGGAGGGAGAAUGGACUGAGUCUGUGACCCGAUAUCUACACCCCUAAAAAUAGUCUGUCAGGUUGUGUCCACUAAAUUUUUUAGAGGAGACCAAGCGAUUGUUUGCAUAGCAACAGAAAUACCUUGCAUAGUAGUUUUAAUAGGCAGGACAGGCCCAUCACCACUAACCUGGGCUUGCACAGAUUGAACUGGAGUAACAGCAGUAGAUAGUGGCAUGUAAGAUUUAGAUUGCGAGGAUCUCCAGGGUCGAUCAUCCUGAAAGUUAUACAGAAACCCUGGGGAUGUAGCACCCAUCACAGAAGCAAGAGUCAUACCAGCAGUCGACUGAUGCGAGAAACCGCACAAAUGCCAUGAAGAAGAGCUCUCUUCAUUCUUCAUGAAUGCCAUGAAGAAGGGCAGCAGUCAGGACCCACAGGACAGGACUAUCAUGGUCAACCAGGUGAACAGCUCUCGAUUCCCUCGGUGUGUCCACAUCACUAGCUCGUGGAGGGAAGCCUCUGAAUGUGGAUGUUGAUGGAGUACUCAAGUUCGAGUCGGGCUUGGCAUCAAGGGGUCACUUGCUUUGAGGUCGACAAUAUAGGCAUGUGCAGUGUGGAAACAGGAGCCCGCAUUUCCAGUGUUGAAAGAAGACGGGUUGACAUCGAUGGAGAUGCUCAAUGUUGAUCAGGAGGUGUCAACAGGGCCGGGGAACCGAUCAGAGUGCGAGCCGGAGACAGAGACUGGACUCUUAUCGUUGACAGGCUUGAUGUCAGAGGGUGGUCGAUACAGAGAGAUUCUUCUUGUGCUGGUCCCUCCAUAGACUGUCGAGUCUCCUUCCUCGAUGUCAAAGCUCUUGGCGUCGAAGCCUUCAGUGCCAAGCAGUGGCAGUUGGUUGAUAGCAGAUUCAGACGGUAAGCUUUGUAGGCCAGAUGGAGACAGAGUCCUUUCCUUUGAUAAGUCCACAGUCUUUACCUUCUUCAGUCACUGAGACGAUGAAUGAUCAUCCAAUCUCGACCGCUUGUCUUUAGUUUUCAAAUGUGUCAAUGUUGAAGGUAGAUGUGGCAUCGGAGUCCUUGGACUUUUAAAGGCAGUAGAUGUCGAGGUAGAUGUAGAUGUCGAAGCCAAGACCUUAGAAUUCAAUGCCGAAAUUGCAGGGUGGGGCUCACCCUCAGCAUAAAUAGCAGCACAAAGCCGUAAAGCCUGAAUUUUGCACGUCUGCUUAGAAAGAGAUAAAUAUAUCUUGCAAGUGGAGACGUUAUGCUCCUCACCUAAGCAGAUCAAACAUAGAUCAUGGAGAUUUUUUGAGGGAAGCAUGGCAUUACAGUCUUCGCCCCUCUUAAAACUUCGUUUCUCUUCAGCCAUUUCAGGGUUAUCCAAAUCAUAGUCAAAGUCCAUUCCAGAGUUGAAAUAAUGCCAAAGUAGUUCAGAAUCCAUGUCCAAAUCAUUAGUCCAAGAUUAAUACCGGUAGUCCAUUUGUUGUUGUUGUUGUUGUUGUUAUUAUAAGAUGAACUCACACUAAAGAACUUUUACUGAUGAGGAGCGACAGCCCUAGGACUGAACACAAUGGCAGUUGGAAAAGAACUGAAGAACAUGGUGCCUGGCCUGCCUUUAAAUAGCACACUGUAGGCGUGGAGGCGGGGCUCAGUCGCCUUGACAAGCUGCAGCAUUCUACUACAAGGGUCCUGCGCAGGCUCAUUACCCAUUCUUAUGGAUCUGGAUCCAGAUCUUACACUUCCUUCCCCACUUCUAUCCUUGAGCUUCAUAGGUCUUCUGAGGCUUAUAGAUCUCACCCACAACCUCACUUCCCAUUUUGAAGAAAAAGUAGAGUGAGAAGCACUAAACAACCAAUGCUAUUUAUUUCCCUGCAUCCUGGCAAUCUGUGAAAAGUCCCUAUGGAGGGGUGGGGAAUCCAGCCCCCUGUUAACUGCUGAUUUAGCUAGUAAGUUACCUUGCAGGUCUGUCACCUUUAUUUUCAUAUCAUAAGAUCCUGUGAGCAGGUAAUGAGCCCCAGGGGAGAAGCGAACAGAACGGACAUCACUGGAAUGAGGAUGGUAACUCUGCACCAUUCGUCCUCCACGAAUGUCAUAGAGCAUACAGCUGGAAUCUUCCUGUCCUGUAGCUAAAAGACGACCACUAGGAUCUACAGCUACUGAUGCCACAGCACUGCCUGCAACAAGAAAAAUCAUCUGUUAAAUCAAUACAGUUCGCUAUAUAGAGUACCAAUGGUUUUGCAUGUUUUUAGAAGUCUUUAUAAAAAAACCUAAACAUUCCGAUCAUAACUAGAUUUGAUUUCUGGCAAAUCUAUUGAAGCGUUUAAAGAAGAGUGUUUAAAAAUAUGUUCUAUCUUUGUAUAAUCAAGACAAUCCCUGGCUAUCAUGAGUGUGCUUUGUACUUUUCACUAACAACAAAUACUGGAUAAUGUAUUUUUUUUAAAACCCACAUUAUGUAAUACCCCUAUGUAGGUGGGGGGGAAUAGCUCUUAUCUUUGACCAGCAAAAAUUCACAUUUUUAACUUCAUGGGGAAGUCAUUUUCAAUUUUAACUAUGCAUAGAUUUGGGAGUAAUUGCCUCUUCCUCUGACAAAUGGCAAUGAUAAGGAGUGCUUGCCUUUACACUUGCAUAUAUAUUGAGAACAGGGGGCAGCGUUAGGUUUUUAUGUGAAGACCCCCAUUUUCUAAGCAGCAUUAUAUUGCUAGCCAUGGCAAGGAUUUUACCUAGCCGUAAAACACUGCCAGUAACCUUACCAGUUCCAUGAAAUGUUGUUCCAACCACCCGGACACAACUGGGUACUCUGAGAUCCCAGAAUCUCACAGUCUUGUCUUGGGAGCCAGAUGCUAUCAUCCAUCCACUCCAUGUAUAAAGUGCUAAAAUAUGACCUGACAUAUAAGAAAUAUUGACAUGUAUUAUAGAUUAUAAAGGCCUCUAUAAAAUUCUUUACACCAUAGCCAGCAAUGCAUUUUUGUCAGCAGCUACAAGGAAAGAUAUGCUUCAUACUUGCACUUAAAAAACGAUACUGGAAAAAAGUGUUGGGACAGGCAGCUUGCUUGUUCAGUAGAUCCAAAUGCUAUUACUGCUGUUUGUUCUGUAUAUACAAGUUACUCUCUCUAGAGGAAAACACUAAAUCUAUUAACACAAUACUUACGUGAGACAAUAAUUUAGUACAUUUGACGUGAGUUCUCAAAAUGAUAACAGACAUCCUAAUCUACUAGAAGUCCUAUUGAAAUUUAGUAGUUCAUUAGUACCACGUAAUUUAGUCAGGAUGCCAACCUGUUUUCCCAACACUUCAUAGCCUGCAACACUAAACAGAUAAACAUAGCUGGACUGCAUCAUGGAGUCAAAUAAUAGUUCCUGACUUGCCCUAGUAACUACUUGCACUCAGCCACAGCCUUAUCUAGGGAAUCCAAAUGUGAUGCUUUAGGCCUUUUUUCUUUUCUUUUUUGCACCAUUGUCUUGGUCUGCUCUGGUCAGAACUCCAGAACUCUCCAUAUGCCUUAUUGGAAGUGUGCAUUCUGUAGCAUAGAUUUCAUUUCCCCUUUUAAAAAUGGAUUUUAAGAUGCAUUUGGAUUGCUUUUCUUUUAUGCAAAGUAUAGUAUAGCUUUCCUUCUAUGUAAAUAAUUUAAGGAGACAGCACUCUAUCCAUACAGGGGUAAAGCUGUGAAGGAACCAAUAUUAUAUUCAAAUGGGAGGAUCGGUGAGCAAUAUCACUGUGAACAGAGCAUGGAAUUCAUUUCUAAGGGAGGAAUCCUGAGGGAAGCUCAUGUCAUAGAUGGUCACCAAGCGAUUUGCUUGUGUAAAUCUGUACCAAGCCUACUGAAGUGAGAAAGGGGUAGAAAAGCACAUUUCAUUUAUCUUCCUCAUAAUAAUUAUCUGGAUGCAUAUACAACAUGGGUCCUUGUGUCAGUUACUUGUAAGUUCAGCAACUUACCCGUAUGGCCACUCAAAGCGUGAAGACCUUGCCCUCGCUGGCAGUCUGUUGUAUAAAUAUUACAGUCCCCAGCUCCAGCACUUAUUAAAAUAGCACCACCACUUUCGGGGCCUUCCAUAAAAGCUAGAUCUCUAAUGGUUCCAUCGUGCAUACUGAAUUCUAAAUCUGGUCCUAAAACAAUGUGACAAGACAGAGUGAACAAUUCUGUAAUUAGUACAAGGUAAUGCACUAAGCAGUUUUGGUGAGCAGAUAUGAAAAUAGUCUUAAUUUUGUAUUCUAACACACAAGGAUUAAGUGUUAGAAGUGAAAAUUCGAAAGUAUUGCUCUUAGCACAGCAGUAACUUCUUCUGGCCACUAGAGACAUGAUGAGUCAUAUCUUAUGAUAUGAGUCAACCGACUUGGUCAGUUAAGUGUCAGAACGGUUUAGUUGUUACUAGCCGACCCAGCACAGAGCAUCUGUGCACUUUGGGGCUGGCUGUGUCUCCCUGCCUCUCCCUCCUGCCCCGGUCUGUCCUCUCCCCCCCCUCCCUCCAGCCCCGUGCUCUCUAGCCCUCCACCCCUUCCAUUCCUCCCCCCCCCACAGAGCCUCACUGGAUGGCACGCAGCCAAAAAGGGCUUCGCCACCACCGUUACCGCCCGUUCCCCACUCACCCUUGCCGGCGCUGCCAGGGCCAGUCUGUCCUGCUGCCUCCUGCCUCCUCCCAGCCCAGCCCAGGCCGCAGCCAGCACAACCAUGGCCGGGCUAGGCCUGCAGCCGCGGCCACCUCCUCACAGCAGCUGAGCCAAUGAGCAGCCGAAUUGGCUGAGCAGCGGGAGCUCACAUGGGGCCAGGGCCACCGCCUCCUCGCCGGGGCCACCGCCAUUUCCCCCCCGCAGCAGCUCAACUCAACGGCCCCAGCCAAUCUGGCGCUUCUGCCGCCCAGCCAAUCCACUGGGUUGCCGGGACACAUCCCCACAGAGGCACGUCCAUGAGAAUUAAUAUAACAGAUUGAAGGCUUGUGCCUGUUUGGGUAUGCUGUUCAAUGUCUCUCACUCUCUCUCUGUUUGUGAUGUUUUAGUUUCUUAAUAAAUCUUUGUUUUUUGAGAUCAA